AUUCGACUUCCCCUGGGG
rnacentral:snRNA from 1 species